rnacentral:rRNA from 1 species
GUGGACCUCGGAUCAGGCAGGGUUA